rnacentral:rRNA from 1 species
GACGAACGCUGGCGGCGUGCUUAACACAUGCGAGUCGAACGGAAAGGCCUGCUUUCCCUUGUGGAUUGCGGGUACUCGAGUGGCGAACGGGUGAGUAACACGUGAGUGAUCUGCCCCCAACUUGGGUAUAAGCCUGGGAAACUGGGUCUAAUUCCCGAUAGGACUGCAGGGUGGUGCCUGUGGUGGAAAACGAUUUUCUAGUGGUUGGGGAUGAGCUCGCGGCCUAUCAGCUUGUUGGUGGGGUAAUGGCCUACCAAGGCGGCGACGGGUAGCCGGCCUGAGAGGGUGGACGGCCACAUUGGGACUGAGAUACGGCCCAGACUCCUACGGGAGGCAGCAGUGGGGAAUAUUGCACAAUGGGCGGAAGCCUGAUGCAGCGACGCCGCGUGGGGGAUGACGGCCUUCGGGUUGUAAACUCCUUUCGACCGCGAGGAAGCCACCUGGUUGGAAGGGUGGUGACGGUAGUGGUAGAAGAAGCACCGGCUAACUACGUG